rnacentral:rRNA from 1 species
UGGGGAAUUUUGGACAAUGGGGGAAACCCUGAUCCAGCCAUCCCGCGUGUGCGAUGAAGGCCUUCGGGUUGUAAAGCACUUUUGGCAGGAAAGAAACGUCAUGGGUUAAUACCCCGUGAAACUGACGGUACCUGCAGAAUAAGCACCGGCUAACUACGUGCCAGCAGCCGCGGUAAUACGUAGGGUGCAAGCGUUAAUCGGAAUUACUGGGCGUAAAGCGUGCGCAGGCGGUUCGGAAAGAAAGAUGUGAAAUCCCAGAGCUCAACUUUGGAACUGCAUUUUUAACUACCGGGCUAGAGUGUGUCAGAGGGAGGUGGAAUUCCGCGUGUAGCAGUGAAAUGCGGAGAUAUGCGGAGGAACACCGAUGGCGAAGGCAGCCUCCUGGGAUAACACUGACGCUCAUGCACGAAAGCGUGGGGAGCAAACAGG